rnacentral:misc_RNA from 1 species
GCAAAUUGGAAUCCAUCUGUCCAGAAAAACAAAAAGUAUGUUAUUUGUCACUAAGAACUUGUUGAAAAUUCUGUCCAUAUAACAAUUCAGGCUGUUUGAGCAGAACUUGUUGAAAAUUCUGUCCAUAUAACAAUUCAGGCUGUUUGAGCAUAAAGGCUAAAGAUUAGUGAAAAAGAAAUGUGAGACCAAAGUUAUUGUCAUUAAUCCUCACUAACUAGCUGAGGAAUUAAGAAGAUUGCACGUAUCAUCAAAUUGAGCACAGAAUCAUGCCAUAGAUAAACAGACCAGACCGAUAAUAUUUCUUCACUGACCCAUAGGGUAUAUCUCAAAACAAAUGACAACAAUAAUUAAAUAUCUUGUUUAAGAAGUCCACAGAAAUAAAACUCAAAAAGAGAGAGAGAGAGAG